GGUGGCUCAGUGGUAGAGUGCUUGCCUUGCAUGCAUAAGGUCCUGGGUUCAAUUCCUCAGCACCA
rfam:Dipodomys ordii contig_61905, whole genome shotgun sequence.